CGAGGACAUCGCGUGAGCCCUUCGCUGUGCUCUGCUCUGCUCCGUGAAUACGUCAGCUGUGUUGAUGCUGGUGCUGAAACUGCUCGGCCACGUCCAGCGAAGCUUCUUCAGCCGUUCCCCGAUGCAAACAGGUGCAGAGUGUCCGCUGACCGCUGAAUAAACCUUCAGUCACAUGCUGACAUUGAUCAUCCAUGGCGUUGUCAACACUCAGAGGAUUUCCUCAUCAGGAGAGCUGCGUCCAGCUUACAUUUCUUCCUACCCUACAUUUGGCCGCAUCGCGCUGUUAUUUCGCCGUAAUUCUCUGUUCUGUUUCGUCAGUAACUUGUGCUCAGUAAGUUGUAUGCGCCAUCUGUCUCAUCCUGACUGGAAAAUUACGCAACGUGCGGUGCAUAAUUCAUAGAUGUGCUGAAGGGAACCAAUCAGAGCGAAUGCGCAAAGAGCUCGCGGACAAAAAAGAGGGAAAUUCAGUACAGGGUCACACGAUGUACCACCAGUUUAUACUUAAACAUCACUGAAGGGCUCAGCAUCCUCAA
ensembl:processed_transcript